CGCCGCUCGGCGCCGCCGGCUCGCGCACGCGCAACGCCCCCUGCCGGCGGGGGCGCGCACGUCGCUACGCACUCUUCGGGCGCCGGCGCGGCCUUCAACAGAACGCCGCCUCCGUUCACGAUUAGGGGACGGGGACCCAAAGGCCGGUUCUGUUCGGAGGCAGCCGUGAGGUAACAGAGGCGCCGGGCCGCCCCGCAGCCUCUCUGCAGGUCGCGUUUGCUUUUCUCGCUCCCUCCGUUCUAAGGACAGGCAGCACCUGACUGUUAUUUGACUUCAACGAAAAAAAAAAAAUACAAAUCAUUUUAUGUUCUACAACGUACAGACCCGUCAUACCUAUUUGUGA